AUCCAUUCUCCACCCCGACUCACGCACAGCAUCCCUAGCGAGCGGCGACUGGAGGCGCGGGCGAGGCGGCGGGGCCCAAGGCGGCGGGAGGCGGGCGCCGCGACUCACGGCUGUUCGCUCGCUCGCGCCGCUGGGCGCGACGCGGCGGGCCCAAGGCGGCGGGAGGCGGGCGCGGCGGCCCGCGGCGACUGGAGCUGCGCGGCACGGCAGUGGCCCGCGGCGGAGGGGAGCAGGCUCCCGGCUGUUGGCUCGCGCUGCUGCGGCUGCUGAAGCAUCCAUGGAGUCGCCAACCCCCAAGUCGCCGUACGAGUUUGAGCCAACGAAUGAACUAGCCCUAGCGCACAUCCCUUCCCUUGCUAGGAAUUUUGUUAACCAUUCAUGUGACGAUUGCAUCUGUCGAAAGGAGCUUUUCUAAACUGAAGUUUGUUGAAAUCCUACUUGCGUUCGACUAUGACACAAGAAAGACUGAAUGUAUUGGCAACAAUAGCACUUGAAAAUGAUGUCUUGGAGAAGAUUAAUUAUGAAGAUUUGAUCGAGGAUUUCAUAUAAAGAAAUACUAGAGGAACGCUGUUUUUUGGUAGAAAAUGAGGAACUUUCGCGCAAAGAAAACACACACAGGGCAGGAACAUGAGUACUCUCGCCCUUCCAUGUUUCUGGUCGAUCGAACUCUUCGGUGACCAGAAAAUGAGAAAAGGGUAGGUCGUCGAUGUACAGACCACAGGCGCUCGGACGCACGGCCGGCAUCAUGGUCGUCAUAGCUCAUAACCCAUGAGGGGGUGACGAAGCAAGAAAGGAAGAUCCCAUGAAUGUCAUUUUGCACCGAAGGUUUGUAACCAUUGAGGAAUGUUUUCUUGCUCUGAUGUAUCAAGUUGCCAUGGGGGUGAUCUAGAGGUCUCUUCCUUGUCCAAAGUAUGUCGUACCUAAUCAAGACAUGUUCAUUUAAUUUACCCGUCAUGUAAAUGACACAACAUGAUUCACUUGUGUAUAGUGUAAACAUAUAUUUAUUUAUGGCAAGCAGGUGUUCAAAUUAUAGUUGUGAAACGUGUAUAGUGUAAGGAUAUAAUUAUUAAGGGAAGUGACGUCACAGUGGUC